rnacentral:lncRNA from 1 species
GUUCUAUGUAGAGAAAUAUUGUUAUUAUUCCAAUGACCCCAAAACGUGCUCACUGUGAGAGUCGGACCUGUCCUGACCUUGUAAUUCCUCAAAUCUGCCACCAACUCCUUAAAAAUGAAACCUUUCAAAUUUUGGAGUUUUAACAUUUCAAAAAUUCAUUGAAAGGUUAGCGAGAAUUUUUCAUUUUGGGAGAAAUUGCAGUUUUGGAACCCAAA